CGAGGACGCAGUCUUCCUCCCAGGAGAAGCUUUGCCGCUGUAGAAGCUGAAAUGUAAAAUCAAGGUAACGUUCUUCAAGGUCAACCACAGCUUUGAAGAAGGCCUUUGCACCCGAAGCAGCAGGCAUGGGGACAAAAUGCCAACUCCAUCCAGGAAGCUGCUGGGGUAAAGAGUGACGGUCUUUCCCCACAUCUCCACCCAUAGUCUCCAGAAGACGAGUGACUACGUGGUCUCUGGUGUACUCUGGUGACUUUGCUAAUCCGCUUACAUUUUAUCAAACGCUAUCACAGGCUCCAAAUUUGUAUACGUGCAAUACUUUUCUUUAUAAUGGUCAUUAAAGCCUCACACACUCUUGAUUUUGUAUUUCACGAGAGUAAACACUUAUGAGAAGCAUGUAAGAAUAACGCAGUGGUAAAAACCCUUAAUCAAAUGUUCACUCAGCCAAAUUCAAACCAACGCAUCUGUAUUGCUGCCUGCCAACCAAGCUAAUAACAGAUCUGCAAUCUUUCUUCAGUCUUCUCGGUGCCGCUUCCAGACCGGCCGCUACGUACGCGCAUACGCACACAGACACUGUUUCCUCCCCUGAGCCUACCUGUGUCAAAUGUGUUCCUUGAUUCCCAUUAAUGAGCAAACCGUCAUUAGUACGUCUGUGUGUGUGUGUGUGUGUGUGUGUGUGCGUGUGUGAGGCUGUAAGUGGGAGAGCGGAAAUGACUCAAGCUUAUGAUGCACAAGUACAUCAUUCUAUUUGUGCUCAUAGUUUUGAAUCCUGUGUUUUGAUCACAGAUAUUAAGUAGUCAGUGUAGAGGAAGCCAGAAUAAUGACAGAUUUUAUUCCAUGACUGUGACACUCUCGCACAUCAUUUUAUGGCACCACAAACUUGGUUGGAGCUGAGUGUUGUCCUUCUUGCACAUCUCUGAGCACUGAAGCGAAGAAAACAAAGGUUGUCUCAUGUUUUCCUCGGCUCGAGGAUUUAAUGCAGUAGAAAUACGACUGAGACAGCCGGUGAGAGAGAUCAUCAGUGCACAGAUUAUUUACAUUUAAAACACAUGCCAGAAAGACAGUAACAACCAACACUCUCCAUCCGUCUGUCUUCUCUCUGUUCUUUGCUUCCUGAUUGCCACAUGCGCUGCAGACCUGGACCGACGGGCAAACAAAGACGCUCCGAUGGCGAGGGACCACAGAUGGGACACGUGAGGGGAGUGACUUGUUUAGUUGACGCCCGUCCAGAUGUGAUGUGAGGAAACCAUCAGCCACCUUUGUGCCUUUGCACCGCUGCAAGAUUUGAACCAGCUUUGUUUACCACCGUGCAACAAAGUCAGUGGCAGGACACCUCGAAACCUUUUGCCAGAUGAGGUCAAACUACUCAUCUGUCCUCCGCUGCCAUGCGGCUGUGGAUUAUCUGAAAGCCGAGAGGAUGGGCCAGAAUCAGCCGAGGCUCGAAGCCGGGAGACUCGGAACCGCUGAACGUUGUUGUCAGUCAUUUUUCUCAACUGAAGUAUAUUCAGCCACUGCGGUUAUUAUUGUACGGUCGCUAGAAAGUGAAACUCCAUGGACAGUUCACAGAAA
ensembl:lncRNA